AACGGCCGUACCAUGCUGAAUAUACCGGUUCUCGUUAGAUCACCGAAGUUAAGCAUCAUUGGGCGCGGCCAGUACUUGGGUGGGUGACCACCUGGGAACACUACGUGCCGCUG
rnacentral:rRNA from 1 species